GACGAACGCUGGCGGCGUGCUUAACACAUGCAAGUCGAACGGUGACGCACCUUCGGGUGUUGAUCAGUGGCGAACGGGUGAGUAACACGUGGGCAACCUGCCCCUGACUCUGGGAUAACUCCUCGAAAGAGGCGCUAAUACCGGAUACCACCUUCCGCGGCAUCGCGGAGGGUUGAAAGUUCUUCGGUCAGGGAUGGGCCCGCGGCCUAUCAGCUAGUUGGUGGGGUAGUGGCCUACCAAGGCGACGACGGGUAGCCGGCCUGAGAGGGCGACCGGCCACACUGGGACUGAGACACGGCCCAGACUCCUACGGGAGGCGGCAGUGGGGAUAUUGCGCAAUGGGCGAAAGCCUGACGCAGCAACGCCGCGUGAGGGAUGACGGCCUUCGGGUUGUAAACCUCUUUCAGCGGGGACGAAGCGAAAGUGACUGUACCCGCAGAAGAAGCGCCGGCUAACUACGUGCCAGCAGCCGCCGUAAGAC
rnacentral:rRNA from 1 species